rnacentral:rRNA from 4 species
GGGUUGUGAGGUUAAGCGACUAAGCGUACACGGUGGAUGCCCUGGCAGUCAGAGGCGAUGAAGGACGUGCUAAUCUGCGAUAAGCGCCGGUAAGGUGAUAUGAACCGUUAUAACCGGCGAUUUCCGAAUGGGGAAACCCAGUGUGAUUCGUCACACUAUCAUUAACUGAAUC